UUUCCGUAGGUGAACCUGCGGAAGGAUCAUUAAAGUUAUAGUCCCCUGGCCCUCUGGGCUGGGGUCUUCUAUACCACCCUUUGUUUAUUACACCUUUGUUGCUUUGGCAGGCCUGCCUUCGGGCUGCUGGCUCCGGCCGGCUCGCGUCUGUCAGAGGACCUAAACUCUGUUUGUAUAUGAAGUCUGAGUACUAUAUAAUAGUUAAAACUUUCAACAACGGAUCUCUUGGUUCUG
rnacentral:misc_RNA from 1 species